UGGGUCUCGCUCGUUGCCUGACUUAACAGGAUGCUUCACAGUACGAACUGACGACGGCCAUGCACCACCUCUCAGCUAAUCCGGUAAAGUCUUCAGCCUGACCUUCAUAUCGCUGUCGCCCCCGGUGAGAUUUCCGGCGUUGAAUCCAAUUAAACCGCAGGCUCCACCCGUUGUAGUGCUCCCCCGCCAAUUCCUUUAAGUUUCAGCCUUGCGGCCAUACUUCCCAGGUGGCUCGCUUCACGGCUUCCCUACGGCACCAAUCACGGUCGCACCGUGACUGACACCUAGCGAGCAUCGUUUACGGCUAGGACUACCCGGGUAUCUAAUCCGGUUCGUGCCCCUAGCUUUCGUCCCUUACCGUCGGACCCGUUCUGGUGAGACGCCUUCGCCACUGGUGGUCCCUCGAGGAUCACAAGAUUUUCACCCCUUACCCCCAAGGUACCUCUCACCUCUCCCGGUCCCAAGCCAAACAGUAUCCCCUAGCAGCCUGACAGUUGAGCUGCCAGAUUUCCCAAGGGACUUACCUGGCCGGCUACAGACCCUUUAGACCCAAUAAUAGCGGUUACCACUCGGGCCGCCGGUGUUACCGCGGCGGCUGGCACCGGUCUUGCCCGGCCCUUGCUAACAGAUGCUUUUUAGGCAUCUGGACAGCCAACAUUAUAUGCUGGCACUCGAGAUCCCCUUAUCACGGUUUCCCGCAUUGUAAAGUUUUCGCGCCUGCUGCACCCCGUAGGGCCUGGAUUCGUGUCUCAGAAUCCAUCUCCGGGCUCUUGCUCUCACAACCCGUACCCGUCGUAGGCUAGUAGGUACGUUACACCCACUACAACCCUGAUAGGCCGCAGACCCAUCCUCGGGCGCCGGAGCUUUCGGCCACCGCGCAUUCCAGCAUCGGUGACCUAUCCGGAAUUAUUCCCAGUUUCCCAGGAUUAUGCCGGACCCAAGGGUAGGUUGUCCACGUGUUACUGAGCAGUCCGCCAUGUUCACGAAGAACAUUCAACUCGCAUGGCUUAGUCGAAUCUCGAUAGCAGUAACCUCUGGCAGGAUCAACCG
rnacentral:rRNA from 1 species